UACAGAGGGUGCGAGCGUUAAUCGGAAUAACUGGGCGUAAAGGGCGCGUAGGCGGUUGCACGAGUGUGAUGUGAAAGCCCUGGGCUUAACCUGGGAACUGCAUUGGUGACUGGCGGGCUAGAGUAUGGCAGAGGGGGGUAGAAUUCCACGUGUAGCAGUGAAAUGCGUAGAGAUGUGGAGGAAUACCGAUGGCGAAGGCAGCCCCCUGGGCCAAUACUGACGCUCAUGCACGAAAGCGUGGGGAGCAAACAGG
rnacentral:rRNA from 1 species